CCCCAGGCCCCCAGCCCCCCUCGCUCCGUCAUUGCAUCUUCCUCCUCGCGCGAUUCUCAAAAAAAAGAAAAAAAAUCUUCCUCCUCGCGCGAGCGCCGCCACCCCUCCCUCCCCAUCCUGCUGCCGGGCGCCGCAGACCCCUGCCUCGUCUUCCUCCACCGUAGCCUUCAUUGUGCAGAGGAACUCUGGAACUUUCCUUGUAAGUUGAGGUUUUGUAAUCUUGAAUGGAGUUUUCAUCAAGUGAAGGCGAUGAACUUGUUGAAGAUUUCAUGGAUGUUGAGGAUGAUACAGGCACUGGCAAUGUUGAUCAAGGAACUGGUGUGGUGACUUCCCAGACUCUUUGUGUUGAUCAUUCUGUUGGAAAUGAGUUACUGAUGGCGGCUGAUGGGUUGGGCAAAAAUGGUGAACCACGCAUCAGUAUGGAAUUUGAAUCUGAUGCAGCUGCACGUGCGUUCUACAAUGCAUAUGCACUACGCCUUGGGUUUGGCAUUCGUGUUGCUCGAUCCCGUAGUGAGAGGAGAAAGGGUGUUGAGGUACUCGUCAUGAAGCGUUUUGUGUGCAUGAAAGAGGGACAUCACAAGAAGAAAGCUGUUGAGUCUAGCAACAAAAAAAAGAGGAAGCGCCUCUCUAUACGUGACGGCUGCCCAGCAAUGAUGGAGGUGGUGAGGAGGGGGCCAGAAAAGUGGGUCAUCACGAAGUUGAUGCUGGAGCACACUCAUGUUGUUGUUAGCCCAGAUAAGGUACUGGAGGUCCAGCUCAAUCGUCUCUCUGGGAAGGAGCAUGACAACCAAUUGCUGGUGGUGCGGAGGAAUGUGUUUGGAGACACAGAUGCAUAUGGCCUCUUCAGCUACUUAAUGAGAAAGCAGUCGGAGAACUCUGGUUUUUUCUACAACAUACAAGUCGACAGUACAAACUGUUUGAGAAAUGCAGUUUGGGUUGAUGCAAAAUCUAAGAUGGCAUAUACAUACUUCGGAGAUGUUGUUUACUUCGACACUACUUAUAGUGAAAAUGAGAAUAUGUUGCCCUUUGCAGCUUUUACAGGCGCGAAUCAACAUGGUGAUAGUGUUGUUUUUGGUUGCGCACUGAUUUUGGAUAGGACAGAAUCUUCAUAUGCUUGGAUUUUUGAGACAUGGCUGACAGCAAUGGAAAAACGAUUGCCAUUUUCUUUUACAACAGAUGAAGGCAAAGCAAUGACAGAGGCAGUUGCCAAAGUUUUUCCUCAAUGCUUCCAUCGUCUUUGUAGAUGGAGAAUUCUUUCCAGGUGCAAGAAGAAACUGUCUGAUACCUAUAUGAGAUUUCCUGGGCUCCAUGGUGAGUUAAAAACAUGCAUCAACGAGUGUGAUGCCAUGCCUGUUUUUGACAUGUUCUGGGAUUCUAUUCUCGACAAGUAUGGCCUGAGGGAGAACACUUGGCUGCAGUAUCUAUUUGAAUCAAGACAUAAAUGGGUUCCUGCAUACCUGACAAGCUCCUUCUUUGCAGAGUUGUCGCUAGCACAUAGAGCUGAAACCGUCAGUACGUUUUAUAGGAAUAACUUCACUACAAAAGCUCCCCUCCUUGCUUUGAUCACUAGAUUUGAUCAACAUGUGGACAGAUCGUAUACAAAUGAAGCCCAGAAAGAUCUUGCUUCGUUUCAUCCUGAACAACUUCUGAAAACCAAUUCAAUCUUGGAAAAACAAGCGGGGAUCAUCUACACGAAGGCUGCAUUUGAAAUGUUCCAGAUGGAGUUGAUUGAAGCGCUACAUCAGUAUGCUGUUAAGGUUCAGGAUGGCUCUUACACCAAGUACUAUGUUGAAAGAGAUGCUGAUCCUCGUACCAGGCACACUGUUGUAUACAAUAUCUCUGAGAACAAGGCUUGGUGUGACUGCUGCAGGUUUUUGUUCUCGGGGGUACCGUGCAGACAUGUUCUGGCAGUUUUCAUCUCGGCUGAUGUCACCAUGCUACCAGAGCCAUGCAUCACGAAGCGAUGGACAAAAAAGGCGAAGACAGGGCCAGAGUCUGUUGGGCGUAGCCUCGAAGAUGAAAUCCGCCACGCAGAUUCUGCGACUUCGAGAUUCAAUGAUCUUGUUCGUGAUGCGAUGAAGUGCGCAGAGAAGGGAGCUGUAUCAGCAGGUUCCUUCAGAGUCGCGAAGGAAGUCCUGCGCAAAGCCUUUGGGCAAAUCGGGAAACUGACUAGAGCUGGUCCCCAGCAAGUUGACAACAGCAGAUAACAUCAGUGGUCAUCUUGCAACUACUCCUUGGAUGGAUUAUCUUGCUCUUGUUUCUGCAAGGAACCAAGUUCAGAACCCAGUUUUGUAUGGGUGGUCAGUGCUGUACUGUUCAGAAAGUUUAGAGAGGAACACUUAAGAUCAAUAAAGGUUUUAAAUUUCUAAAUACCUCUGAUUUCUUCAUGUUUUAUGCCUUGUCAUUUUAGGGGGUGCUCAUGAAUCAGGAGGCAGGUUAGCAUGUUGAAACUGUUUGUUGAAUCCUAUGUAUGCUCAUAAUGCACUAACUAUUUGAUCUGGUACUUAGAAGUCCUACAGGAAGCAAGGUAUAGAAACACCUCGUUAUCUGAUUCUGAAAAGGACUGCGAAUUAUGAGAUUUUGGUUAUGAGCAUAAAAAGUUCUGCAGGUCAGGAGAUAUCCACCAUUUUCAGUUGUCGAAGCAAAAGGAGAAAAACUAACAGGAUCAUCAGGUUUUAAUAAUGUUACUGGGUAUAUAUUUGGCAAGAAUGCUUCAUCUGAAAGAUUCCAAUGACUACACCUUUCUUCACUCAGGCUUCUGAUGACAAGCUCUCAGAUGUAUCCAUCCAGAUAGCCCUGCCAAUGAACAAAGACUUGAACAGUUUGCCAGCUCCAAAUACAGAAGCAGUUACCUUGCGAAAGGUAGAAGGAGGCGUUGCUGCCGUGAAAAAAUUCAGGAAGGAGCUCUACUUGGGUUUUAAUCCUGUACCGGGCCUCCACGAGAAAAGUUUUUUUUUCUUUCGGCCGGUUGCGAACUUGCGAUAGCAGUGGCCCGUGGGCUAUCUGUGUGAUGCGACCAUCUUGACCUGGAUUUCUCCAAAACAAAAAUAAUCGACUGAGUUGAGCUAGAUCAAACAACUCAUUCCUCUCAAAAAAAAAGUUGAGCUAGAUCAAA